CACUCACUCGCCCGCCGCGGGGCUUUCUGGGAAUUGGAGUCUUUUCUGGACUCACCCUAGGGUGAGCGGAAGCGCGUCUGACUGCAACUCCCAAAAGGCACCGCGGGGAAGCCAAGAGGAGGGAGGCUGGCCUUUAAUUGAGAGAGUCCGAGACACCGGAGGCAGCGCCACUUAGUUCCGCGUCGCUUUCCGCUCACGCAGCUAACGGCGACUCUAACCGACCUAGGCGGAAGGCGGGACCCAGGGAGGAGAAGGGCCGCUAGGGCUUGCUGUCAGAGGCAAGCGUCUCCUAAGUGAGACGCUUAGUUCAGAGACACACGAAACUGAGCUCCUUGAGCUCUUUGCUUCUCGUAAAAUUGAAAUACAGCACUCUCUAGAGCGUUUUCGCAAGUUAGGAGUACCACUCAACGCGUCUUACUCGGCUUACUAGAAGACCAAAACUCAAUGGGAUUAAGAAAUUUGCCCACAGGGGCGCCUGGGUGGCUGGGUCGGUAGAGCGUCCGACAGCGGCUCAGGUCACGAUCUCCGGGUUUGUGAGUCCCAGUCCUGUGCCUCGCCCUCUGUCAGGGCGGAGCCUGCUUCGGGUCCUCUGCAGCUGCACCCCCCCUCCCCCGCCCCGCCCUUGCUCCCGUCCCCCUCCCCCUCACGCUCUCUCUCAAAAAUAAAUAAACAUUUAAAAAAGACGAAA